AUCUCAAUCUCAUAUUCACAUAUACCUCAUAAACCAUCCAUAACAUCCUUAAAAACCCUCUAAGCCCUUUCAAACUUUGAUUUGUAAUUGUUUCUCUUAUAAGUCUUAACCUGCACAAAUCAAUUUUAAUUUCUUAUGUUCAUAUAGUUAUGAAUGAUUGAAAAAAACACAAAUGACUCCAGUUAUCUGUGAGAUCUCUAUGAUAAACUCUACUCUCAGACGCAGGACACAUUUAGUUCAAUCUUUCUCUGUUGUUUUCCUCUACUGGUUCUAUAUUUUCUCAUGAAUUAUUAAUUAAUCUAUAUUCUUUCUUUUCAAUACAAAUUUAGUUUCAUUAAUUCUAUCAACAUAAUCAAUUAAACUACAUAGUUAGAAAAAUAGUACUAUUACCACGAUCACAUCAAAGUUUUUUAGUUUUUAACAAACACAUCGGAACUGCAAUUGAUAUGGCUUCUUCUGGUGGAACUUAUUCAUCUGGCACAAGCUCUCUUCAAAACUCUGGAUCAGAGGGAGAUCAUAAUCACGUGCAGGUGAACAUAACAGAUCAAAAGAAGAGGAAGAGAAUGCAAUCCAACAGAGAAUCAGCACGAAGAUCAAGGAUGAAGAAACAACAACAUAUGGAAGAUCUAAGCAACCAAAUUGAACAGCUGAAAAAAGAGAAUAUUCAAAUAAGCACAAACGUUGGAGUAACUACUCAGAUGUAUCUGAACGUGGAAUCUGAAAAUGCUAUUCUUAGGGUUCAAAUGGCUGAACUUAGCCACAGGUUGCAAUCACUUAAUGAUAUUAUUCAUUACAUUGAAUCAAGUAACUCACUCUUUCAGGAGACAGAUCAAUUGUUCAAUGAUUGUGGAUUCUCGGACACAUGGAACACUUUUCCUGUUAAUCAACAACCAAUCAUGGCUUCUUCGGAUCAUAUGUUAAUGUAUUGAUUGGUGAAUAAUUUUGAUGACAAAUUAUGUAUCAACGGCUUUUGGUUGCUUCUGUGUGC
rnacentral:lncRNA from 1 species